UAUGGCUAUAUCAUGUUGAUUCACCAGUUUCCAUAUACUCACCAAAAUUAAGCAAUGUUGAGCCUGGUCAAUACUUAGAUGGGUGACCAGUGGGGAAAACCAGGUGCUGUAAG